rnacentral:lncRNA from 1 species
AUGAAAAGUGCUAUGGCAACUCCCUAUGUCACUGACGAGACCAGCCGAAAAUACAAAGCCUCAACACAGAGACCAGACUCGAUGUGGCACAAGCGGGAGAGUGUCAAAGAAGGAUAUGUGCCCCAAGAGGAGGUCCCAGUCUAUGAAAACAAAUACGUGAAGUUUUUCAAGAGAACACCAGAACUUCCCACAGGGCUGAGGCACACCGGUCAGACCUGAAUGUGGUGAAGCAGGCAUCUCCAAGUCAGCCAAACGCAACCUGAAGCAGAAGGAGAAAAGGAGGCAGCAGCAGGAGAAAGAAGCAGAGGCCUUGAGCAGGACUCUCGUUAAGGUGUCUCUCAGAGACACAGCCCAGCCGCCCAGUGCUCUCCAUGGCCCCCAGGCCACCCCUCUAGCUGCCUCUGACCAAUCUGAUUCUGCUGCCACAGCAGAGAAAGCCAAGAAGAUUAAGAAUAUCAGGAAGAAGCUGCAACAAACAGUUGGGGGAGCUGCAGCAACUGCGUCCAGGCCGGGGAGGUCAGCCAGCCCCGGAGAGAACAGCUGGAGAAGCUGGCACAGCGGAGGGGUCUGGAAGAGGAGCUGGAGAACUUGGAGUCGGGCCUGUGA